ACGCUCGACACCUACGGGAGGGCAGCAGUGGGGAAUAUUGCACAAUGGGGGAAACCCUGAUGCAGCGACGCCGCGUGGAGGAAGAAGGUCUUCGGAUUGUAAACUCCUGUUGUUGGGGAAAAAGAGGAUGGUACCCAACAAGGAAGUGACGGCUAACUACGUGCCAGCAGCCACGGUAAUCUGAGCGGGCUGGCAAGGC
rnacentral:rRNA from 1 species